rnacentral:tRNA from 1 species
UCCCUGGGGGCUCAGACGGUAAAGCGUCUGCCUGCAGUGCAGGAGACCCGGGUUCAAUCCUUGGGUUGGGAA